UACGGAGGGUGCGAGCGUUGUCCGGAAUCACUGGGCGUAAAGGGCGCGUAGGCGGUGCGAGAAGCGUGUGGUGAAAGGCCGGGGCUCAACCCCGGCUCGGCCGUGCGGACUCUCGCGCUUGGUGAGUGCUGUAGAGGCGGGCGGAAUUCCGGGUGUAGCGGUGGAAUGCGUAGAGAUCCGGAAGAACACCAGUGGCGAAGGCGGCUCACUGGCCCGUUACUGACGCUGAGGCACGAAAGCGUGGGGAGCAAACAGG
rnacentral:rRNA from 1 species